GUGCUCGCCUCAGCAGCAUAUACGCUAAAAUUGGAACGAAACAGAUUAGCAUGGCCUGUGUGCAAGGAUGACAUGCAAAUUCUUGAAGCGUUCCGUAUUUUU